rnacentral:rRNA from 1 species
UACGUAGGGACCAAGCGUUGUUCGGAUUUACUGGGCGUAAAGGGCGCGUAGGUGGCGCAAUAAGUUAUUUGUGAAAACUUUGGGCUUAACCCAAAACUGUCAAGUAAUACUGUUGUGCUAGAGUGCAGAAGAGGCAAUUAGAAUUCUCGGUGUAGCGGUGAAAUGCGUAGAUAUCGAGAGGAAUACCUGUGGCGAAAGCAAAUUGCUGGGCUAGCACUGACACUGAAGCGCGAAAGCUAGGGUAGCAAACGGG